GACAGAGGUCCCGAGCGUUAGGCGGAAUCACUGGGCUUAAAGCGUGUGUAGGCGGAUCGUUAAGUGCCUUGUGAAAUCCCACGGCUCAACCGUGGAACUGCUGGGUAUACUGCCAGUCUUGAGCCAGCUAGGGGCUACCGGAACAAAUGGUGGAGCGGUGAAAUGCUUAGAUAUGACAUAGAACACCAAUUGCGAAGGCAGCUCGUUACACGAAUAUUGACUCUGAGGCACGAAAGCGUGGGGAUCAAACAGG
rnacentral:rRNA from 1 species